GGGAAACCUGUUUGCCUGCUCCAUUGUUACUAACUGGAAACUUGUUACCAGUUAACAGAAUCAAAAACACCUUAUUUUUAAACUCCUGUGUUCUUAAAUCUCCAAAAUUAUUGUGCAUCUAUAUAGCAUUAUAGGCAGAAAGUGAAACUCUUCACUGCUCACAACAAUAUGACCAACUAUGCUACCGUAUGGGCAUCAAAAACAAACCUUGAGCAACGGAAAGGGCGAGCUGGCCGAGUACGGCCUGGAUUCUGCUUUCACCUGUGCAGUCGAGCUCGUUUUGAGAGACUUGAAACCCACAUGACACCAGAGAUGUUCCGAACACCAUUGCAUGAAAUUGCUCUUAGCAUAAAACUUCUGCGUCUAGGAGGAAUUGGCCAAUUUCUGGCCAAAGCAAUUGAACCUCCCCCUUUGGAUGCUGUGAUUGAAGCAGAACACACUCUUAGAGAGCUUGAUGCAUUAGAUGCCAAUGAUGAGUUGACUCCUUUGGGACGAAUCCUGGCUAAACUCCCCAUUGAGCCUCGUUUUGGCAAAAUGAUGAUAAUGGGGUGUAUUUUCUACGUGGGAGAUGCUAUCUGUACCAUUGCUGCUGCUACCUGCUUUCCAGAGCCUUUCAUCAAUGAAGGAAAGCGGCUGGGCUAUAUCCAUCGAAAUUUUGCUGGAAACAGAUUUUCUGAUCACGUAGCCCUUUUAUCAGUAUUCCAAGCCUGGGAUGAUGCUAGAAUGGGUGGAGAAGAAGCAGAGAUACGUUUUUGUGAGCACAAAAGACUGAAUAUGGCUACACUAAGAAUGACCUGGGAAGCCAAAGUUCAGCUCAAAGAGAUUUUGAUUAAUUCUGGGUUUCCAGA
rnacentral:sRNA from 1 species